rnacentral:lncRNA from 1 species
GAGAAGUUAGCAGAGGAGAAGAAAAGAAGCGUGAAAGAGAGAAGGGGAGAAAAGAGAAGAAAAAACCUAGAAUUUGAUCUUCAAGAGGUAAGGGUUUGAAUUUAUCUUGUAUAAUUGUAGAAUAACAGAGGUUGAGUUUACCAUGAAGGAACCCUCAUCUUUUUUGAAAAUUCAGAACUGAGAGACUGUGUUGAGUGUUAACAUGUGGUGAGAAAAAUUGAUUUUGAGCGAAAUUGAGGUUCCGGGGAAAAUUGGGUUCUGUUAUGUUUUGCCCGCAGAUACCCUAACAGUCUGUGUUGUAGAGAGCAUAACACUCUCUACAGAAUUCCAAAUUGAGUGAAACCAAUUUUGUAUGAACGCUAACUCAUAGGGCUAUGUUGGGUAAUAUUUUCAUAAUUUUUCGAUUGCUGGUUCAAUACCAGAAUCAUUUGCAAGUUUAUUCUGUUUCUGCCCGCAGACACCCUAGCAGCCUGUGUUAUAGAGAGCAUAACUCUCUCUACAGAAUUCCGAAUUGAGUGAAACCAAUUUUGUAUGAAAUCUAACUCAUAGGGCUAUAUUGGGUAAUAUUAUCAUAAUUUUUAGAUUGCUGGUUCAAUACCAGAAUUAUCUGCAAGUUCACUCUGUUUCUGCUCGCAGAAACCCUAACAGCCUGUGCUGUAGAGACCAUAACUCUCUCUACAUAAUUCCAAAUUGGGUGAAACCAAUUUUAUAUGAAAGCUAACGUAUAAGGCUAUGUUUGGUAAAAUUUUCAUAAUUUUUGGACUGCUCAUUUAGUACCAGGAUUAUAUGCAAGUUUGCUAUGUUUCUGCUUAUUUCUGAGAUUGAUUCUGAAACUGAUUCUAGUAAUUGAUAUGAGACAUUUGAUGAUUUUGUGUUGCUAUUUUGUCAGUGGAAUAGUGAAUGAUUUGAUAAUUGUAUUGAAGUGUUAUUUUGUGCAAUUUUGGUGUGAUUUCCGUUAUGGAAUUUGGUGAGAAAAUAUGUUAUAUAUUUGGGGCUGGAGUGGUCUCAAAAUUGCAUGUUUUAAUUUAUGAGUUUUUGCACGAAAUACACUUCAUUUAGUCAAGAGGCAACGUGUCGGUUUUCAUCGGAAAACUGAGGUUUGUCCCAGAACUGGCGUGGUUCUGGAAGUCUGGAGUGGACUUCAUUGGUGGUUAACUGUCUGGAGUGGACGCGGUGAUACCGCUAAGGUUAACAAUUGGUACCACAUGCAUACAUUAGAGUCUCACACACUAAGUUUCACGUUUUCAGUGGUUUUAUGUGUUUGGUGAUUUGUUGGUGAAUUGUUUUGCUGUUGUGGUAAAGUCGAAUUAUUAUUCUUCUUUAAGCUUAUAAUUUUUCGAAACAUUAAUAAGAAUUGUGAAACUGUCUUGAGAGAAAAUAUUAUAAUCACUCAGAUUUUAAAGUAAAGGUGAAGAGUUUAUAAAGCAGGAUCUGAAUUGUUUACUUGCUCUUUGUUAUGUUAUAUUUUAUACAAUGUAAGUUCUUACCCUUCUGUUGGAAGGAUGUUCUAUGCGACAUCGCUCAGGUACAGGAGGUAGAGAUGUGGCUCAUGAGGAGUAGCUUCGGAGAGUCUUAGCUUAUGUUAUUAUUAUUAUUAUUAUAAAAUAAGUGUCUUGCUCUGUAAUGUAACACUGGUUAGAUAUUUUACGUUACUUUUACAUUUAUGUUGAGAGGAUUUUAUAAUCUCUUCUUAUGGAAGUUGUUGAAUAAUUUUCUA